CAGGAAGGUCCCAGAGAAACUCCCCAGGGGGGAAGCCGAGGCCGUCCAGAGAGAUCCAGGGUACACACAGUGACAGUGCCAGCUCCACAUUCCCGACCACCGGGCCAGGGCUGGUUCCACGCUGUCAUUUCUCUCCGCUGGCCCCAGCCGCGGGGCCACCGCCAGACAGACAGACCGGGGAUCCUGCCUGGCGGCGUGACCUUGGGUUAGUCCUAGAGCCGCUUCUAGCCCGGUUUCCUCCGCCCCAGUGCUCCGGCGCACAGACCCGCGCCCCGCCGUCUGCGAGCCUCCCGAGAGCCGUCCCUUCGUCCGGCCCUGGAGCAUUGCGUUUGUCGCCGGUGUCGCAGUGCGAGGAUGGCGCCGCGGGUGUAGCGGCUCUCUGCGCAGGCCGAGUGGGCCCAGAGAAGCGAGGAACUCCGCAGCUCGUCGACACGUCUCGUCUCCUGUCCCAAUUCAGGGCUUGGUGAGGUGACUCGCGGUCGCGGGUGACUCGCCGGCAGGACACUGCCUGGAACGCCUGGAGCGCCUCCCACUGCAGACGUCUGUCCGCCUCCAGCCGCUCUCCUCUGACGGGUCCUGCCUCAGUUGGCGGAAUGGCGGCCACGGGAGCCAAUGCAGAGAAAGCUGAAAGUCACAAUGAUUGCCCCGUCAGACUUUUAAAUCCAAACAUAGCAAAAAUGAA
rnacentral:lncRNA from 1 species